GGGGUAGAAGCUCAGUGGUUGAGCAAUCGAUUGCAGCUAUAUCGAUAGGCCGUGUGUUCGAUCCACACCUGCCCCU
rnacentral:tRNA from 1 species